UUUCUUUUCUUUUCUUUUGCAAAUAUUCUAAUAUAGAAUUAAAGCUACCGGUCACCUAAUAUGAUGCUACCAUCUCUUCUACAUCUAUUGUGGCUAUCAUUGUCGUGUCUAGAAGCUUUGAAGAACCCCAUUGCCAAUAUAUUAGUCACUGUUUUUUGAUUAAUCAACAUCUGAAGAUCUUUUAUUUUUUAAUAGAUCUAC
rnacentral:lncRNA from 1 species